AUGUCGUUGAUCAUUGCCACUUUUGCAGCCCUUUCUUUGUGCUUCGCCCCUGCUCCUGGUGCAGCGGCGAUCUCGGCGCGGCGUCCGCUGCGGGGCAACGACACGCUGGUCUCGGCGCAGGGCAACUUUGAGCUCGGCCUGUUCAGCCCCGCUGGCAGCUCCGACGGCAGGUUCUACCUCGGGGUCUGGUACAAGAACAUCCCCGGCCAGACCGUUGUCUGGGUUGGCAACCGCGCGAGUCCAUUGUCAGGCGUCGCCUCCGCCGAGCUCCGAGUCUCUGCCAAUGACGGCAACCUCGAGCUCAUCGGUCCCACCGCUGCCUCUGCCUCGCCGGUCGUCGUGUGGUCAUCGAACCUGUCGUCAUCGUCACCGGGCUUGAACAACACGGCGGAGUUUCGCGACAACUUCCUAUCUAGUAUCUCAAUGGGCAGACUACGGAAAGUCUCAGCCAAGGAUGUUCCGCAAGUUUCUUCAGUUGAGAGUCCUAAUUCUUCAAAAGAUCCUUUCGUGCCUAAUGAUUUCGCUGAUGAGGAUGUUAUGUCUUUGGAUUUCUCGGCUCAGGAUGAAGAGUUUGAUAAAGAACUUUACAAUUUCUAUGUGAAUAAUAAAGUGAAGCACCUCAAGAGGAAAUUAUCAUCUGUUAGUAGAAGGAUGUGCCAGUUGUUGAUUGGUGAGGGGACGAUCUCGGCGCGGCGUCCGCUGCCGGGCAGCGACACGCUGGUCUCGGCGCAGGGCAAGUUCGAGCUCGGCCUGUUCAGCCCCGCUGGCAGCUCCGACGGCAGGUUCUACCUUGGGAUCUGGUACAAGAACAUCCCCGGCCAGACCAUCGUCUGGGUUGGCAACCGGGCGAGUCCAUUGUCCGGCAUCGCCUCCGCCGAGCUCCGGGUCUCUGCCAACGACGGCAACCUCGAGCUCCUCGGUCCAACCGCUGCUUCCGCCUCGCCGGUCGUCGUGUGGUCAUCGAACCUAUCGUCGUCGUCACCGGGCUCGAACAACACGGCGGAGAUUCGCGACAACGGCAACCUGGUCCUCCUGGACGGCAGCAACUCCUCCAAUGUGCUGUGGCAGAGCUUCGACCACCCGACAGACACACACAUGCCGGGAGCAUGGCUGGGCGAGAACAAGCUUACCGGCGAAUACCAAACACUGACAUCAUGGCGGAAUGCCCAAGACCCCGCGCCGGGAGUGUUCACCGACACGUUGGAUCCCAACGGCAGCAGCGAGUUUUUGUCGAUGUGGAACCAGUCCCGUACGUACUGGCGGACCGGCGUCUGGACGGGACGCUUCUUCGCGAGGUACCCUGAGGGGACGAGAAAUCUCCUCCUCAACCAGACGUACGUCGACACGCCGGUGUACCGGGGCGUCACCUACGUGCUAUACCACAACGAGUCCAUCGCGCGCAUGGUGCUUGAUCUCACCGGGCAGGCGAAGCGGUACGUCUGGGUGCCCGCGAGGCAGACCUGGCAAUUAUUCUGGGUCGGGCCCACCAUGCAGUGCGACGUGUAUGCUCUCUGUGGCGCAUUCGGCGUAUGCAACCAGAGGAGCCAGCUGCCGUGCCGGUGCCCGUCCGGGUUCACUCCGGCGUCAGAGGCGGAGUGGAUGCUCAGCAACUGGAGCGGUGGGUGUCGCCGGAGCUCGCCGCUCAUGUGCUCGCGUAGCGGGUUGACGACGGAUGGGUUCCUAGCACUGCAGGACGUGAAGCUCCCCGACGACUCACUCGUCGUGGGCGCUGCCCAAAGCAACGCAGAGUGCGAAUCCGCUUGCCAAAAUAACUGCUCUUGCCAGGCCUACGCAUUCUCCGCCGGGGUGUGCACCGUCUGGCAUGGAGAGCUCAAGAACCUUGCGGACUCCGACAUCACAGGCUCAGAACUGUAUCUACGGCUUUCAAAAAGAGGAUUGCAAGAUCUUCAAAGCGUAGACAGGAAGAAAGGUGGGAGAAAGUUAUGGCUUGUCCUUGGCAUCACACUGGCCAGCGUUGCAGCACUGGCCACGUCGGUCAUACUAACUUGGAGGAUUGUUUCUGCCCGGACGAGGAGACUGGUCAGCAUUGCAAACGUGAAUGGAUCCUCCUUGGCCGUGUACAGCUACAACGACAUCCGUGCCGCCACAAAGAACUUUUCAGAGCGGCUGGGCGGCGGUGGCUUUGGCUCAGUGUACCAUGGCGUCCUGAAGCAGCAAAUGGGAGACAACACGGCCCAAGUUCAGGUGGCAGUCAAGAAGCUGGAAAGCCUUUGCCAGGGAGACAAACAAUUUCGGACGGAGGUGAGCACACUGGGCUGCAUCCAGCACGUUAACCUCGUCAGGCUCCUCGGGUUCUGCUCGUCGGGCAACAAAAAGAUGCUCGUCUACGAGUACAUGGCCAGAGGCUCCCUCGACGGCUAUCUUUUCCGUGUAGGUGCGUGCCUGAGCUGGCGAGAAAGGUACUGCAUCAUGGUCGGCGUGGCGAGAGGGCUGACCUACCUGCACGACGGCUGCCACGAGUGUAUCAUACACUGUGACAUCAAGCCGGGGAACAUCCUACUGGACGAGGACAUGUCCCCAAGGAUCGCCGACUUUGGGAUGGCGAAGCUGGUGGGAAGGGACUUCAGCUGCGCUCUUACGACGAUGAGGGGCACCGUUGGGUACCUGGCGCCGGAGUGGAUCUCGGGGCACCCCGUCAGCAGCAAGACCGACGUGUAUAGCUUCGGAAUGGUGCUAUUCGAGCUCAUCUCGGGACGACGAAACUCCGAGGGGUACAGUGAGGUGGAGGCUGCAGGGAGUGAGAGUAGUGAGUCGUGGAUCUUCUUCCCUGUGUGGGCCGCGGGAAAGGUCUUGGAAGGGGACGUAAGUGCCUUGGCAGACCCGCGGCUGAAUGGCGAGGUGGUGCUGGAGGAGCUGAAGCGGGCGUGCACGGUGGCGUGCUGGUGUAUCCAGGACCAGGAGGGGCAGCGCCCGACCAUGGCGCAGGUCGUGCAGGCCCUGGAGGGCACCAUCCACGUCCAGGCACCGCCUGUGCCGCGAGUGUUGCAACAGCUCGUCACAUGA
rnacentral:rRNA from 1 species